rnacentral:misc_RNA from 1 species
UAUAUUGUGUUCCUCUGCCAACAAAGUAUGUAUACAAACAAUUUCAGAGAAAUUAAAAGAUGGAAUCUAAUUAAGUAAAUACAAAUAAUAAUAACCGGAAAUGUUAAACAAGGAUCAAUAACCCUCAAUAGAGCCAGAUCAAUAAACAUAUCUCACCACAAGAAGUUUUUUAAGUGAUAAUAUAACAUAACAUUUUCAUAUACCUGAAGAAUUUUGUCAAGAAAUUAGCCUUACCAAGGCAACA